GACGAACGCUGGCGGCAUGCUUAACACAUGCAAGUCGAACGGAGUUCCUUGGAUAGAGGCUUCGGCCAAUUGAAAUGGAACUUAGUGGCGGACUGGUGAGUAACGCGUGAGGAACCUGCCUUUCAGAGGGGGACAACAGUUGGAAACGACUGCUAAUACCGCAUGACACAUUCGGAUGGCAUCACCUGAAUGUCAAAGAUUUUAUCGCUGAAAGAUGGCCUCGCGUCUGAUUAGCUAGUUGGUGGGGUAACGGCCCACCAAGGCGACGAUCAGUAGCCGGUCUGAGAGGAUGAACAGCCACAUUGGGACUGAGAUACGGCCCAGACUCCUACGGGAGGCAGCAGUGGGGAAUAUUGGGCAAUGGGGGAAACCCUGACCCAGCAACGCCGCGUGAAGGAAGAAGGCCUCGGGUUGGUAAACUUACUUUACCUAGGACGAAGACGUGACGGUACCUGGAGAAAAGCAACGGCUAACUACGUGCCAGCAGCCGCGGU
rnacentral:rRNA from 1 species